UAACGAAGACUAGUGGUCUU
rnacentral:miRNA from 1 species